AUUGGUCGUCUAGAGACACGGUAGCAAAUACACAGACACAGAAAUGCGUGAGAAAAAAAGAAUUCGGGUGCGCCUCCACCAUUCCCGUUGGAGUUGACCGAUCCUGGGCCAGGCGGACGGGCCCCUCGCUGGUGGUGGUCGGCCGUGCAUCUCCUCACCUGAGAGCAGAAUCCCAGAUCCCGUACGCGCCGUGACGUCGUCGCAUCAAAGUCUCAAGAAAAGCUUGAGAAGUUACCGAUCGAUCGCGAGGAGGCUGGGAGGGUGCUGAGGAAGGGGAGCGGGAGCCGGAGGAGGCCGGGAGGGUGCUGCGGAAGGGGAGCGGGAGCCGGAGAUGGCGAGCCCGCGGUCGGCUGUUACCGCCGCGAUCCCUGGCGGAAGGUUGGUGCGGCAUCUCAUCCCCCCUCCCUGCCAUUCAGGCCAUCAUUGCUCUCGCUGCGCUCGGUGACCCCGCCCCCGCCUUCUGGACGCGGGUCGAUGGGUUGCUGGUUCUGCGCGGCGGUUGGUGUGAUCCGCUCUGCUGGCUCCAUCUCGUCUCCGGCUGUUUCUGACGCCGCCGCCGCCGCCGCCGUGACCCGUCUCUCAGUAGUAGUAGUAGCCCGUGGAUCGGAAGGAAGUGGGGAUUCUUUUGCCAUCCGAACUCCCGUAACAAUGACACCAUCGCCUACCCAUCAUUCACACCUCGCGGACCGCAGCUUGUAAGAUGCUGAUGGCUGGUGCUGGCCCAAGCGUUUGGUGUUUUGUUCAGGACAAGCCUUCGCAUUUGAGCGAUGCAUAGUACAAACUAGAAAAUUGUGGGAGCAGGGACGCGCGCGGUUCAAACUUCAUGGUAAAACUCGAGAAGUCCUAGCAUUUGAGUGAAUGCUAGUAUCCAGGUUAUACGGUCCCAUCCAAUGGAACCAUCAAAAGUUGCUUUCAGUUCUUGUUCCUUCCUCGGUUCCUUCUUUCGGCAGUAAAUGACCGAAAACAUGAUGAAGGGAUUAACAAAGUGAAAGAAUUUUGUCUACUUCAUGUUUUGCCCCCUAAAUAUCGGAAAUCACCACUUUUAUCAGGCAGAGGCAGGCAUCAUAAAUUAUGGAUAUGACGAAAUAUGAUGGUUUUCCUUGGACUGCUGAAUCCUGCAUUGGGAGUUGUCCCAGAUCAUUCAAGACUCAAGAGCUUAGCAGGAGCAGCAAUAGGCGUCUAUUCUUUACCACAAAUGCAGGCAUUUCGCGACAAAGAUAAUGAUCAAGGAAUAAUCGAGAUAUGACCAUGGACUGGUGAUCAUGGGACUUGAUGAGAUGAACUCAGGAGAACUCAGGAGAAAGUUGAGAUGCUGCUCUGAUGGCAAAGGUUUUCCUGAAUGGUUCCAGUUCAACUUCUGACGAACCCCAAGCCUACUCUUGUGGCGUCCGUCUUUGGCACUAAAGACGUUGGUUCCUUCAGAGCUUCUGGGCGUAACUACAGGUGUCAAUCUGUGUCUUUGUAGCCGCAGUUCCGCAUAGCGGUACUUACAUCCCAUGAACUCGAAGCUGGGCACUUCAUGUUGACUUCAGUGUGAUAGAUCUACGACUACGAGUCAUUGUGGAACCGUACAUUUUCUCUUGCUUAAUGGGAGUUAGUUUUGGACA